AACAAAUGAUGCCUGACUGUCCAAGCUUGCGUUGAUCACACAGGUCUCCAGCAUGCUAAGAGCAGAGAGGCUGAAAAUGCUGCGGGAGAGGACACACUGCUUUUGCUGCAUAGGACCCCCCAACAUGAGAUCAUAAUGCUUCAUAGCAGCUGAGAGGGCUGACAGCCAGUGUUAGCAGGAGGGCAGGGCUGGAAAUGAUAGUGAACCUUCAGGGCACGGAGCCACCAGAUCACCAGGUGUACGUUAACCUUGGCCCUUUUAUAUUCCUCCUGCUGAAAAGGGGGAACAGCUAGUGGGAGAGCCCUUGAGUGCAGAGAUGCUGGGGAUCAAGGAGAUCAGAAUCCUGUCCAAAUUCUGCGAAGUCUAAUAGAACAACAGUUGCCAAAUGACAAAUCCUAUCAGAAGAAACAGAGUAAAAAGGCAUGUCUUUGUUUCUGAUCUUCACAGCUUCAGCACUAGCAAGAGGAAUGUCAAGGUUUCCAAAAUAAAGCCCGUUAAACCACUGUAACUGCUAUUAAACAUAAACAAGGACAUAAAAAUAGAGAUGAUGGAAGCCAGGAUAUGAACAUUUGAAACAGUAGCUAUGUAUACAAUUGCAGUUUUGUUGACAUUGCCGGCUCCUGGGGCAGCGCAGCUCUGCUGGCUGCAGCCGUGCUGGGGCAGAGGCACGGGGCUCUGGGGGCUGCACUGUCUCAGCAGCGACAGGGAACCCCAGCUGCAAAGUGGUUGUGCAGCCAUGCUGCGGCGUGCUGGGAGGAGAACACGGGCUGCAAGAGGUGCAGCCGCUUCCCCUUCGCUGUCACACAGGACGCACGUUGCGCAAGGAAGCGGCAAGGGUGCCUUCACUUCCCUUCUCCCCAGUAACUCUCCUCAUCUUAGUAAAGGCAAGCAAGUUAACUCAUGACAGCAGCUAAUUGUUCUAAAGGCUCACAGCCAGAAAAUAAUGGAUUGGAUCUAUUCUGCUACUGCGGCAAUAAGACACUGGCAUCCUACACCAGCUUUGUUUUCUGCAGGUACAAUGCCGGUACUUUUUGUCUGAGCUCAACACACAAUUAUCAAGAUUUUGGAUGUGAGGAAAAAGAGGAACAAGGCCUGUGAUCCAUGGUCUGCUGGAGUCCAUGCUGGUCUUUCAGGGAGCUGCUAAAAGAAGCCAAACAGAAUUGUUCAUCUGCAGAAUUGCACUGAACUGCUAUCUGAGACAUGGCCAUUAUUGGACUAUUUCUGGUGCUUCAGUUAUACAAAAGGAAUACACUAAAAUAAUUAAUUGAUGUCAUUAAACUACUGUGGUGUUGAGCAUAUAUUGCACUUGAACAUAAUGCUGACAAUUCAUUAUUUCAAGUUUUAUGAAAAUACCUCUGUGAUAAAUAUUUCUACAAAUUCUAGAAGUCAGAUAUAGGAAGGAGAAAUCUGCCCAUUAUAAACUGCCACAAAACUGAAGACUUGUCAAAACAAAGUGAGCUAUUAAUAAUAUUCAGGCAACAUCACUCUCAUUAAACACCUAAUGAUGCCACAGGCAUAUUAGUGGGGAAAUGCUCAUGAGGAUCGUGAGGAAAAAAAUAAAUAAAAGCCCUACCCCUAAAACUGCUUGCCGAGCUGUUUGUACAUUCUGCCACAGGCAGUUUCUUGAAAAAGAUGGAGACGUGAAUGGAGACAAUGACUAUUAGAUACUGAUGAUGGUGAGGGCAAGCAGAAGAACUGAUGCUAGAAAUGAAGGGGCUGCAUUUUGCUUUCAGUUAUGUCUCGCAUGUCUCAACAUUUCAUAGUAUUUAAAUGAACGUGUUACAUAAGGCAUUUCUCCUGUCUACGCCGCUCAGCAGCCAUAUUCUCCUUUCUGGUAUGGAUUGUCUUGGGAAGCUUGCCAAGCUGUGACAGAGCAGUGCAUAAAAGGAAAUCAUGCUCAUAAGCUGGGGGUGGGGAGAGCUGCAGGUGAACAGAUUCAGUGCAGCAACAUAGCUACAGUCUCCUGUCUCAGAAACUCAGGGCUUAAAUGAAGUGGGAGCCAGAAUACUACUUUUAAAAAGUGCAUAGGGCUGCUACAGCCCCCCAGGCACCCCAUUCAUUUGGUCCAAGGAGAGUGCGUGAGCACAGUGGCAGUAGAAUCGCUUAACAGCGCACUGACUGCUGCUUUAGCAGAUGGGAAGACUAAAUGAGAAUAUCCUCUUAAGGUGCUAGAAAAGCCCUGUCCAGUUUUGGAGCCCAUUCCUGCCAGAUGCUGAACACCUCCUUUACACUUAGGAAGGAUCUGGACCUUUUAAUUAAAGACAGAGCGAAAUGAGGGUGGAUCCAGCCUCUUGUAGGAGUAAGCUAUUACCUGCCUGCCAAGACCUGCCCAAAAGGUCUGGCGUUUUCUAUAGAACUCAGUGAAUGCACUCGUUGUUAAUAUUCAUUAUUGUAUUUAUUAAUAGCUAAGCUCUCAGGUAGUUUUUGGCUUUUCAUCUCUAGACCUCAAAGUGCUUUACAAAGGAGAUCAUUAUCAACAAAGGAACACAGACAUCUACAUUUGGGCUUUGGCACGUAAAGAGCAUCUCAGUUCACCUGUAAAGGAGAUUUGCCAGUUGAGCUUUACUCUGGCCACCUGCCUGCCCUGCAAACAGUCUCCAAAUCUUAAAUGACUGGGGGCAGGGAAAGGGAUUUUCAGCUGAAGUUCAGUAACACAAACAUCUUCAAGGGAUUAGGCAAUCCUGCACAACCCAGCUCCUGGCUGGAAGAUGUGGAGGUCAAGGAGACUUUCAGCUUGACGCCUGCGACACCGCAGCAACCUCCAGGCCUCUCCAGAUCAGACCAGGAUUCAUUACUCCAAGGUACUGCUGUGGAUUACAGCACUGAGCACUUUUAACUGUUCCAUCCCUGAAGACAAGAUUUACUGUCCUUUCACCAUCUUCAGUUGUUAUAGUAAAAGACAGGUGAAGAAAUGUGCUUAGGCUGAUAAAUUUUUUGGCAGUUUUGCACUGCACACAGACUAGGAUUUUUCAUCUUAAUGACCUGCAGCUGAAACAGAUGCUUUGCUUGAGUGUUUUAAAGCACUUCACAAAACUUAACACUAAUUUAUUCUUUCACAGUACAGGAAAAAAAAAUGUUUGAUAUCGUUACUCACAUAACAGAACAACGUGAAAAAUGGAAACAGAUGUUUCUCAUUUAAGCAUGAAUAAGAAGGAAGUGAAAGAAAAAAGAUGAUGUAGUAGUAGCGAUUACGAGAAAUAUGAUGGCUUGGUUAAGUCAAGACAAUUUCUUAUGGAUCUCCAGUCAGUCCUGAAAGAUCUUUCUAACAACUUGGUCCCUGAUUCAGCAAGCACUUGGAAAUGCUUAACUCCAGCUGUGCAGGUUGUCUCACAUACUUCAUUUAUAAUUUUAAAAGCUGUAUAGCCAAAUGAAUGCUCUACAGUUAGGAGCUGAGGGAUCAAUGGCACUGUUCCUGUAGACAGUAAAGCACUGACUGUUUUCACAGACUACAGACAUCUAAAUUUGAAUAUCAGAAUAGAAAUGAAGUCAAACUGAAAAUACAUUGUUUCCUGAAACAUGAAGAAGUGCUUUGAUUUUACUACAGCACAGACAGAGCAUGGUGAGACCCAGAAGCAGCAACCAGGGACCCAUUACGUGCUCCCCACUGAGGAGUGCAGUGCCCGGCAGGAGGGACCUGCUCGGCUUUGGCAACCGCCUCUCACCUCUCCCGGUCUGGCAGGAAAGAUCUGACUUCGGCUGCAGGGCCUUUCCCACUAAAAAUCUUUCCGAAACCUCCAGUGAUGUGGAGGGAAACACAACCAAUCCACCACUGAGAACAAAAUGACUUGCUAGGGUGUGAACUGAACCUUGAGAAGUGGUGUAUGUAACAUGCCCCAGUAUUUCGGUAUCAGGCAGGAUUUGGGUACAGACCAAAGAACCAAUCUUUCAUUGUUGGUACUACUGUUUAAUCUUAAGCCUGCCUUGGAAGGUGAAGGAUCCAUGUAAGCCAGUGCAGACCAUCAGGCUUAGGUAAGAUUGUUCGCCUUCUUUCCUCCCUGCCCAUCUGCCUCCCUUCCUCCCUCUGGAGUAAAGUCUUGGCCAGGAGACGUGUCCCUGCCCCAGAGCCACCAAAAACAGCCUCCACAGCCCCCCGGCUGCCCAGGGCUCGCCUCUGUGGAAGGCAGGACAGCCCAGCCCUGCUGGCGCUCGCGGUCAGGAGACGCAUAGACACCGGCCCCACCACAGCGGAAUCCUCCUGGCCAUCCCAUCCCAUCCCACCGAGCACCUGCUCAGACAGUUCUCACUCUUUGUUACCCCUGAGAAAACGAUGCUCUCUCCAGCCUCGCUGAAUUAUUUUGGGCCCAUCUGCACCAGCAUGUUCCGCCCUUUCCGGGGCAAGCCAGCCCCAACUGGCAGAAGAGACACUACUCCCGAUGUUCCCAACGAGGAAAGGCAAAAGAAAUGUUCAGAUUCCCCAUGGAUUACAGCACUGUUGAAAAAACAAAAUCCUUUUGUUUCCAGACCACACUAAUCUAUUAGGAACCACUGGCCAGAAAUAUGGAGCAGUAUAAAAUUCCUUUUACAAAGAAGUACUUAUACAAAAACUUGAAAACUAAGCUUCAGCUCGUCUUGUUUGAGUUUUAAGGACAAUACUUCAGUUCUGGGAAACUGUUACUUUCCACUCAGCAUUUUUAAUAUAAAAUAAUGUUUCUGCAAUUGUCACUGAUUUCAGCAUGGUUGCUCAGAGACAUUUGGCCCUGUAUGCAGUCCACAGACCGUGCAUGCAGAAUUAAUAAUCUCGUUAACAUUACUAUAUGCAAAUGCUCCCAGGAUGCAAAGAAAAAUUUGUAUUUCAGAUUAAUAUUUUAUGGGAAUUUUGUGUGUACAUGAUAAAUGAAUAAAUGGAAGGACACAAGGGGACACGCAGAACAUGU